GAGUCUCGACGAAAUGGUCGAUAUAUUGCGAGUGUAGUGAACUGUUAGAACACUGCUAGCAGGUUCAGCUCCAAAUGAAUAAAUUAGGCAACACCACCAGUCUGCCAACGACGGCAAGCAACCAAGCCCCAGGCGAGGCGACGACAUUCGAGUAAACAAUAUUGAGUGAUUGAAGAUUACGCGUUAUCGAUGGCGUAUCGGUCCGGGUGAAUUCGCAAGCCUUCGACAUAUCUUCGAGUGUUAGUACCAACCUUCAAAAGAUACGUGUAUAAAUUUGACAGCUGUCUGAUUAUUAGUUUGUGAGAUAUUGCAUGUUGAGUGAAGCUACUUUUGUUAUUGUGAAAAAAUGGAAAAAAAGUAAUUUCGUGUGUUGAUGAAACACUACUUUUUGAUGAAAAAAAGUGCCGCCGAUACCAAAAAAUGGCUUGAUGAGUGUUAUCCAGACUCUGCACCGGGCGAAGCAACAAUUCGUAAGUGGUUUGCAAAAUUUCGUACUGGUCAUAUGAGCACCGAAGACGAUGAACGCAGUGGACGCCCAAAAGAGGCUGUUACCGAUGAAAACGUGAAAAAAAUCCACAAAAUGAUUUUCAAUGACCGUAAAGUGAAAUUGAUCGAGAUAGCUGACACCCCAAAGAUAUCAAAGGAACGUGUUGGACAUAUUAUUCACGAAUAUUUGGAUAUGAGAAAGCUUUGUGUAAAAUGGGUACCGCGUGAGCUCACAAUCACAAUGUCACAAGUCGAUGAAAACCAUGCUGAAAUUGAACGAAUUGGGCUUCGAAUUGCUCCCUCAUCCACCGUAUUUUCCAUAUUUGGCCCCCAGUGACUUUUUCCUGUUCUCAGACCUCAAGAGAAUGCUCGCUGGUAAAAAAUUUAGAAGCAAUGAAGAGGUAAUCGCUGAAACUGAGGCUUACUUUGAGGCAAAGGACAAAUCGUACUACAAAAUUGGUAUCGAAAAGUUGGAAAAUCGCUAUAAUCGCUGUAUCGCCUCUGAUGGCAAUUAUGUUGAACAAUAAAAACGAAUUUUGGCAAAAAAAUGUGUGUUUCUAUUAAACGAUACGAACUUUUCAGCCGAACUGUUAUACAUCAUAUUGCUCAUUAAAUCAAGAAUAAUAGGUAUGUUUUCAUCAUGCUAAUGCUACCGGCAAUGGAUUUUAUCCGUGUUCGUGCGAUAUCUUUACAAGCUUCACUUUUCGAUUUUCCAUAACGUUGGAAUGAACAUUUGAGACGAUUUCCGCAACAACAGCCUCAUUCGGACAAUCAGAGCGUGAUGCCGACGACCAGAUUUAAAUUUAGCACACCAGUCCAUAAUGGCUGGUUCGCUUGAAGCAAAGCCCGUAAAGUGCUGAUCAUUUCUUUGCUUGUACAGUGUUUUUUUUUCACUGAAAAACAGUGUUUUGUCAAUAUACGGUGCUUUUUCCUUCAUUGUUCCUAAUUUUCCAAAAGUAGCGUUCUAAAAAAUACAUGAUUUGACAGGCUAUUUGUAGUUGUGGUUUGAUGAGCGAAAUUCUCGUGACUACAAGUACGAUUCUCCAACAAGUUUACGCAAUUGUGGAAAAGCGGCUCGGGGGUAACAGCAUCAACAUUGUACCAAAGCACUGCAAUCAAUACGUGGAUAGAUUUUUCAAGAUAUUUUCUUUUCAUGCGUAAAAUUGUUCAUCUGGCAGUCCAAUUUUAAAAAUUAGCUCAUUGUUGUCGUCCCUGCCCGAGAAAGGCGAAUAUUGGUUUUGGUGGAAUUUGACAUGUCUCCAUUGAUUUUUUUUCAUAGCUCACAUCUGGAAAAGUAUCCACGUAUCAUUGUACAAAAAUAGUAUCCCAAAUUCUAAAGUACAUUGCUUUCGUACACGACUUAAGAGAAGCUUAGCUCCUUAAUUUCGAAUGUGAAUUAAAAAGAAAGGUAUGAGUAGACUGAUCUUAGAGUUCUAUGUGCUUUCCCUCGACGAAAAACCAUAUGGUUAAAGUCGAGGUGAAAUAUACUUACAAUAAUAAUAAGUUCUAUGUAGUUAAUAUUUUUAUUUGAGACUGCUGCAGUAUUCAUUUUAUGCAAAAGUAUCGAGUCUUUCCUGAGAUAUGAUUUUUAAGACGUAGAGCCGUCUUGAGAUUGUCAUAAUCACUUUUUUCAAAAAACAAAACCGUCUUCUCUAGAGGACUCAAAAAACAAACAAAAAAACAUAACAAAAUCUAAAAUCAACUCCUGAGGCUCUACAAUACACGCCACGUAUCUCUGCAAAAAUAUCUUAUCCCAUUUUGAGCAGCCAUAUCUUAUGAAUGGAUCGAUACUUUUACAUAAACUAAGCAGUCUGUGAUAAAGAACAAAAACUACUGAACGUUUCAUGCUCAGACAAUCCAUCGUUUUUUUAAUUUACGCUCAAAAUUGAGGAGCGAAAAAAUUGUUAGCAGGAAAGACUUCUGUUAAAAAGCAUUUCACUGAAAUAUAAAUUUGUAUUGAUUGAAAAUAAAAUGCAUUCUGUUGUUACUAUACUUUUUUUUUAAAUUUUUGAGUACACUGACGAGAAUGAAUAAACCUCGACAGAUGUGGGUUUCGUUCGAGUCGUAGGGAUUAUUCGGUUGGUCCAAAAAGCUAUUCCGGUAGUAGUGAUAAUGAUUCAAAACGUUUUUCAUUUACCUAGCUGUGAGAUGAUACCUUUUUUAUCGAUCCACAUGCUUUUUGAAUAAUUUAUUAAAUUUAAUUCGUUAUUACUCAAAAAUUAUGCUUAGAAAGAAUGGUAAUCGAUUGCAGUAUUAAAAUAAAUAGGGCAUAAAACUCCUAGAUAUAUUUUUGAACGAUUAAAAAUAUAAUUAAAUAUACGUAUGUUCUAGAAUAUAUUAGAGUAAUAUGAUAUUGAGAUUUAACGGUGGCAAUUAUGUUGCCAAAAUGGAACCGUGCUAAACACAAACAAAAUACUAAGAUGAAGACUACUGUAUUCAAUUUUUCUAUGACUCAGGUACGUUUGGAUUGGAAAUUCUGUUCCAUUUUGAUUCUAAGCGUCAUUCCAUUGCGUUUCCCUGACUAUUGGGAUAUGUCGGAAAAAACGUUUACACAAAAAUAUCGAUAUCUCCGUUAAUAAUUAACGGAUUCGUACAAUCUUUGGUUUGUUUGAUAGGUAUUGCGAUAAACUAUCUAAAAUUCGAUUGGGACAGAUAUUAUUAUUAAGCAAUUUUCUACAUAAAAGUUUGUAUAACUCGAAAAGUAAUCAUCAGAUCUAAAAACAAAAACAAUAACGUCAAUACUUACUGGAACCGUUUGGUCAAAAUUGAUUUGCAACCAGUUUGGUCAAAAUUGGUUCAGCCAUCUCUGAGAAACACGCCUCUUAAUUUUGCACACGCACAAACAUUUGCUCAGUUAGUCGAGCUGAAUCGAUUGGUAUAUGACAUUCGAAAAGUUUUCCAAGCGAAUGUUAUAUCUAUUUUUUAUAUUCAUAAAAUAAGGUAAACAUAAUCUUACAUUGCUGAUGAGCCGGAGGCGCAACGUAAAACAAUUAAAAACAGUUAUUUGAAUUUUCUCACAAACCCCUAAGGUAUCAGAAUCUAAAUGAAACUUACACCAAGUUUUUUCCGGAAUGGCUGAACCAAUUUUUGCAAAUUUAGACUGAGAUGUAAUGCUAAUAAUAAGUUCCGGUCAACCCGAGUUUCUGUCAUAAUAUCGAACGCUGUGCCGAAUAUUGCUAAUUCAUUGGCUUUAGUCAUUGGAAUUAGCUUGGUUUUGAUAAUUCAAUGGUCUGUUCACCGGAUAAUAUUUCAAUAGCCUUCAUUCGUUGGGUUCUCAUAUACAUAUGAGCAGAAUAAUUAUUUAUUUCUUACUUACUGAACAGAUUUUCAAUCAUUUUUAUUUCGUUUAAUUUUUUAUGUUAUCAUUUUCAUUGAAAUGUAAUCUCAUUUUCCAAUCACAUCUGGAUUCCGGUUAACGACAGUCGAUAAUUCUUUGCCUGACAGCUGCUCAGAAAUCUGGUUUUGCGCAAUCGUUCCAAAGUUGAGGGUUAUAUCGACAUUUACAUGUUUUAGCAUUCCUCGCUGGCAGUAACGAAUCAGUGUCCCGAAAUAUCUUGCUGUUUCCACACUAUCUAUGGAUACGUUUUCUAGACGGCAAAUUUUCCUGUCCCCACCAGUUACUGGCACUGACCGUGCAUGAAUAUUGGUAACUUUUGACAAAUGCGCCCUUAGCAGCAGAGCAUGCCGACCUGACUCUUCAUCCUGACGCCACCCUCGCGGCGUUUGAUAUUCCAUACUGUUCCAGUGUUCCAUUCUUCGUGCUCGGCAAUUACCGCCAGCUACGUAGUUGUGUAGAUCGAUGUAUAGGAAACUGAGUGCGCCAGUGCUGCUUUCCGGUUUCCUCGGUGUAUUUUCCAGUUUCGUGUGCUCCUCUCUUUCCCGUGCAUAAUUGGUGUACAUUCUUAGAAUGCAUUUUCCCGUUCUAUUUAGUCCCAUCUGCUGCUUACACUUGCUACGAUGUUAUUCCUGCCCGGUCGGGUGGGGUGGAAAAAUUGUUCGGCAGCAACACAGACCCACACACACACACACACACUCACACACACACAUGUAGUCACACAUAACGGGCUGUUAUUGUAAAGAGUAAAGAUAUGUGCGUGACCACAGUGACAAGCUUUGAAUACAUGCGAGAAGUCCUUUCAGCUUUGUACCUGAUUCCAGCUAUUUGUUUGUCUACUUUAGUAUAUGUACAGGCGCAUUCGGAAGGGUUGCUGCUCUAAUUUGUAACAGUAUUUCAAAUAUAGAUGGGCUGCACGAAUGAAAUACAAAACAGAAAGCAUACUACGAAAAGCUUUGCUAAGAUUAUGUUGUGCAGUCUUAAAAAAGUUUAUAAAAAAAAACAGAUUUGUCUGGAAAAUUUUCGAGCGUAAUGUCGUUAUUUACAACAAACCUGUUAGCCGAAAGCUACACCUGAUUAUAGUUGGAGUCAUUAUUUUGCAGUUCUUUUUGGUGUCAGUUAACAAAACAUUCAAGUUUGAACAGUUUUCAAUCAAGUUGUAUGUAAUAUGCAAUUACUGUGAAAGCCGACUUUUGAACCGAGGUCCAGAUGGUUGAGUGCCACAUACUAUUAGACUCAGCUCGUCAAAAUCGCAAAAUGUCUGUGUGUGUGACAAAUAAUGUCACUCAAUUUUCUCAUAGACGGAUGAACCGAUUUCCACAAAAUUAGAUUCAAAUGAAAAGCAUUAAUCACUUACAAAUGAAUUUCAUCUGAAUCCGACUUCUGGUUCCGGAAUUAAAGGGUAAUAUGUGUUAAAAAAUGUCGUAUCUUCGAGUCUAUGGGUAUCUAUGAGGAAUUUUUAAAGUCAGUAGGAUCGUAUGGCUAAUAAUCGGUUACGAAGUCUGUUGAAACAUAAAUGCCAAAUUCCACAAAAGGAGCACACUUAGAAAAUUUACAUCUUUAUAGAUGCACAUAAAAGGAGCGUCGCCAUUCACUUACAUUCACAAUUCAUAGCAUGUAAAAAUAAGUCAUAUCAUGAACUUCACAGUUAAUUUAGCUGAAGCUUAAAUCGAUAUAGACGCAAAAUUUAUUUUUACAUGUUAAUAGACGUAAUAUUGUGUCAUUGCCGAAGAAAUUACGGCAUGCUUUAAUUUACGUCAAGAGUAAAUUUCAUUUUUUCUAAGAGUGAGUGUAAUUCCAGGACUUUGCUUUACUAUGUUUUAAAAAAUGAAUAUACUGUCACUCGCUUUUCUCGAAGAGUACGAAACCGAUUAUCUUAAACUUACGUUAAACGAUAAUAUCUUGAACUCCGUCAAAAUCCGAUUUACGUUUCUGGAAUUAUAGGGUGAUACGUGUUAAAAAAAAGAAAUUCCUGUCUCUAUCUUUGUCAAAACCAAUUUUCAUUCGGAUAAGAUUCAAAGAUCCUGAAAUUUUCUGAUUUCUAUCCAGAUCUGACCUCCUGUUCCGCAAAUACAGGAGCUUUAAUGUAAAAAUCUCUUCAAAAUUUGAUAGUUGAUGAUAACUUCAUCUAACCAAUUUACGGUUCCGGAAGUACCGAAAAUAGUGAUUAAAUACUGUAAAGAAGAAAGCAAUACAAUUUAUCAAAGAUGGCUCGCCCGAGUUUCACAAAAUUAGAAUAAUAUAAAAAGCCUUAUUGUCCGAUACAAAGUUUCUUAAUUCUAUCUACAUCCGACUUCCGAUUCCGGAAUUACAGAGAUGAUGAGUGUUAAAAAAUGAAAAUAAUAUUACUUACUUUUUUCGAAAAUUUAUAUUUCGAUUUUUAUAUACAUAGAUUCAAAUCAAAGAUCCUAAGAUACCGUGGAAAAGUCUGAUUUCUGUACAGAUCCGACUUCCGGUUGCGAUACAGGGGGUUUAAUGCUCAAAAUUACAAUUUCAAUAGUGUUUUCUCAUAAAUGACACUAAAAAGACAAAUGAAUAUUCUAAAAUUUUGAUAGUUGAUGACUAAAUAAACUUACUUCAUUUAUACCGCUACCCGGUUUUCGAUUGCGAAAGUAACGGAAAUGGUGCCUAAAUACUUUAAAAUUGAACUCAUUCCGAUGUCAAAGAGAAUAUUUUCAAUAACUCCGAAUCAAAUGGAAAGUCUUAUAGCCAAUUUGCUAUUUCUGACUGUUUUUUAGACCCGGCUUCCGGUUACUGAACUGUAGAGUAAUUUAAAUCCGUCACACACAGCGACGAUGCCGAAAACGCACAAUUUUUUCAUAUAGCUAGCUCAAGGCAGUUGCAAUUUCACUUUUUUUCGCAUUUCGCCUUCGGCUCAUCAGUGCAUAAAACAGUUCAAAUUAAACUACCAAUCUCCGCCUAGCAGUUCAAGUUAGGCCGCUCAGCAGACGCUAAGUUUACAAUAUUUUUGUAACACUUUCUGCUGACUUGAACGAGAACGAGUGACGACUGACUUGCUACCGCAGAAUGUGAACAAUUGGGAGGAUUUUGGUCACAAAGUAACCGGUUAUUGCGAAAAACAUUUUGUUUUCAUCUUCUUUGCGUUCCGCCUUCAGCUCUUCAGUGCUCGAAGCGGUUCAAAUUGAAUUGGAAUUAUUCAAAGAAUCAAUCAUGGAACCAUUCCGGUCGUGGUGUGAAGCUUGAGUCAUUUAAUAUCUGGACGCAAACAGAACUGAUUUCUUUCGGAACCAUCUUAAUGAAAUUAUAAUGUUGAGAGCCCAAAAUUAAGAUUAUUCAUUGCACUUUAAAGAAUAAAUAGUGGAAAAAUUAUUCGAAAUUUUUCUUCGAUUACCUCUCAUCAUAAUUUGAAAACUCUGUUGACUAACCUAAGCGACCAUUUUGUUCUACCAUCUCUUCAUCUCGGUUGUAUCCCGUGUCCCCUUUCCAUGCUACUUCAACUUUUGCUUGGUAAUUGCCCAAUAUUUUAACAUCCAAAUCAGGUCUAGACUUUGCAAGUCCAUUGAGAGCUCUGAAGUACGAAAAAACGGUGCUUGUACACAUGGUCUUAUUUGUCACGAAAACCUGAGGUUUUAGUCCGCAGCUGCAAUAUCGGUAUCAUUUGCUUUCUUCUUAGUUUCGAACCGUUUCCGUUUAACAAGAGCCCAGUACUUCUCUAAUGGGCGUAGUUCUGGACAGUUUGAUGGAUUGUCUGUUUUUGGCACUAAUUUGACCUCUGGUGUCUUAUACCAUUCCAGGGCGGAUUUCGCAUAGUGGCAAGAGGCCAAAUUCUGCCAUUCCUUAUGUCUUAACACAAUUCGUUUAUUUGAAGUCAGUAAGUAGUCAUAGGUACUUACUAUGUUUUUCACGUGUAGCUCGUACCAUUUUCGCAGUGUAGAAAAGACCACAUGUUUUUUUUUAUUCCGGCAGUUUUGCAACCGAUUGAGUGAAUCGGUAUUCGGAAGUCAGGAAUGCAGAUGACUUUCAAAAUCGUGGGUGUACUAGGAAAGUGUCAGUUUAAGUGAAAAAAUAUCCUUCUGCUGUUUUCUAAAAAUCCUACCUUGACUCUGCGUGAGGGAGUUGAGAAGUUGAACAAGAAAAGCUUGAAACUAUCCCACGAAAUCAUUCGUUUGCAUUUGCGCAAUAAUAACAUUGAGUAUCGGAACGCACAGAUGAAACUAUUACUGAGCGAAAAACACGUGGUGUAUCCCAAAGUCUUCUAGCACGUAAAACAUCCCCCAAAUAAACCAUGUGACUAACUAAGAAAAACACCUUUUCUGCCAAAAAUCGAUGUCAUUCAUCAAUGUAAUCAUUUCAACGAUUUUCUAACUUCUCGAUGUCAGGCUUGUGGAAGGAUUUCUCUUUUGCCUCAAAAUAGGUUUCACAUUCACCAAUUGCUUCUUUAUUUGAGUUGAAUUUCUUACCGGCGAGCAUUUUUUUAGUUUAGUUAGUAGUCACUGGGGGUCAGAUCUGGAAUAUACUGUGGAUGAGGAAGCAAUUCUAAGUGUAAUUCGUUCAAUUUAACCAUCGCUGCCAUCGACUUGUCAAUUGGUGCAUAAUCUUGGUGAAACAGUGAUUUCUUCUUUGACACAUAAGGGCGUUUUUUCUAGAUUUUUGCAUUCAAACGAUCUAGCAACGUUAUGUAGUAUUUGCUAUUGAUUGUUUUAUUUUUGUCAACAUAGUCGAUGAAGCCAUAACCUUCCCAGCUGUCUGUUGUGCCUUUGGACAUGGUUCACCGGCUGCAUUCCACUCAGGUGAUGAUCGUUAUGAUUCCAAAGUGAAAUGACGGAUCCAUGUUCCAUCCAUUGUCAUUUCUUGUAAACAUGGCAAUGUUUAAUUUAAAACACGACAUUGUUUUUGAAAGUGACAAUUGUAGCUUCACUUAAAUAGCUGUCACUUUUUUUCUGAUUCAACGAAAUGUCAUGAAAUUUAGCACAGUCUUUUGAAACUUGGUACUUGAUAAAUGUCAUAUAGAUUUGAUAAUGACCGCUUCAUUUUUGUAUCAGUCACACUAUUGGAUAACUAUCUCAAUUUGUACGCCUGGAGUCCGUGCCUUUGCUUCACUUUGAUUUUACCUUCCCAACUUUGCUAGCCACAUUUCGCACAGUACCAUUGGGCUUUUUCUCAAUGUUGCUUGAAUAUCAAAAAUGCAACGAACGCCAAUGAUCAUCGUUCGCUUCCCUUCGCCUUUGUUCGAUAGUUGCUCUGAUAUUCGGACUUAUCCGUAUAUUCUGGUGCGAACGAAGCCGACGCUGCUUCGUUGAUCGCAUGAAGAUCUAUUUUUUGCAGUUGUUAUUCGCAUUGAACAUACCCCCGAAUGAUUUAACGCGAAUGUGGAACGAAUAUUUAUACAGCGAUCAUCGUCAAAUCUAAUUCGCGAUGAUCGUUCGUGUUUGUCUUUGAAACAAGCAAGUUAAGACGUUUUCCUCUGUAUUAGUACCAUAGUCUUAUGUGUGUGUGAUGAACCAUACCCCUGCACUCCCCCAUUGCUGUUACCCCACGAGAUAUGAUGAAAUAAUUAGAUGAAGAAUGCUUCGCUAAGAAUGGAAACCAACGAUCAUCGCAGUGACGCUAUUCGAACCAAUUCGAAGAGUGAAGUAAAUUAACGAAUGACAAACGAAUGUAUAAAACGAACAUGCACGAUGUAUAUCAGCAGCGAAGAAUGUAUUAGAAGAUUCGGGUUCUCCACGAUUAUUACUUAUUCAUUUUCACUCUUCUCGCUUUCGUGCAGUGAAUAGUUCAACGUUGUUCGAGACGGGCGUGAGUAAUAUAAGAAAAUUCGCACAGAAGAUGGAUGAAUGAAUUAGUUACACAAAGAAUAUGUGCAGCAUUGAUGAUGGCUACCAUCUUUUGGUCUAUUUAUCGGGAGCAUAUUUUAGGGUUUGUUUCACUUCUAAACUUCCGAUCCACAGUCAAGCGCUGGUCAAAUGAUAUAAAUUUAAGUUUCUUGGCAAGAAACGUACACAUUUACUUGAUUCAAAAUCAAUGUACUGAAUGUAACAAGAAUGUGUUACACCUCAAAAUAAAGUGGAGAGUUUCAGCUAUCAUAUAAGUGUAACGUUUCAGCACUCCGUGAAAAAAUUCAAAAUCUACACUGAAUAAAAAUGUACAUUGGUGCAUUCCAGGAUAUUAAAAACAGUUUUUAUAAAUCCAAAAAAUUCAAAAUGCCGGACAUAUCGAGCAUCUUUCUAGGCGGGUUUAAAUAAAGUUGUCUCCCCGUUCACACGAUAUAGUUGAACUUCGAUAUUUCUUCAUUAUUAAUUAAAUUGAUCAGUAGAUUUUUCUGUGCUUAGUGCUCAGAUACUUUAAUAAUAAGAUUUUGUCAGCAACAUAUAAACAAACAAACAUGCAUAUAAGAAAAACUAGGCUUUUGACUCUAACGCACUUAAAAGAAGAUUCGUGACAUUCGAUGACCCCACUGAACUGGAUUAUAGGGCUGUAUCUCAUAAGUAGUGCCGCCAUAUUUUUUUACCGAUUGUUCGACUUUCAUUCAAUUGUGAGAAAAUCGGAUACAAUAUCUUUGCUUCGGCUCUAGGAAGCAAUACCACAGCGACCAGACAUCCAAGUAGAGAUACCAAUUUGUGCAAGAAAUUUAACUAUUGUUUUAAAAGGCAAUCACCAAGUAGCAAUUCUCCUGUAGAGGCGCUUCGAGCACCCCAGUAAUACCCUCAUGGGCUUUUGCGUUCGAACUUUCAUACAGUAGUAAUUCAAUAGUAAGUCAGACAGCAGAUGUCACUCUAACUAAUGGUUUUCAUACAUGAGCUGAGAUGAUUACUGGAGCUGUUAAGGAGUGUAUCAAAAAUAAGCUAUACAUCACAUUUUGGCCGAAGCCCUGGCAAUGACGAUAUUAUGUUGGAUUGGCUGUGCCAUCAUCAGUGUUGGUGAUUGCCGAUAAUUUGGCAGAAAGCGGCUCGAUAUUUCUCUACAUUGUAUACAACAUUUUCAAUCUGGUGGAAGAUGCUACAAGAACUCACUGCCUCUCAAUGCAUGAACCGUGAGAGAAUUUUUCUAUAUUUCUUCGCUCCACUUCAUACUCUAAGAAUUUCACAGCCCCUAACAUAUAAUAUAUACAGUCUGGCAAUGAUCGGCGCUGUGUGAAAGUUACCAAGAGAGAAUCGCAAGUUGACAAUUAUCGCUGAAAAUUCGACUUGAUGAUUCUCAUACUAGGUUACAAUAUACAAUAUUUCAAAACCCUGGUCUGGUGUGUGAUUGCAUUAGGGUUUGAAGUCUAGUUUAUUUUAUUUUCCUUUAUUUGAAAUCAAUUUUGAAGGUCGAAAUUGGUGCAGCCAUCUCUGAGAAAAAUGAGUGGCAUUAUUUGACACAGACACAUUGCACAACUCGACGAACUGAGGCGAAUGGUAUUGGCUCUUCGGACUAAUUUUGACUAGUCGAUUUUUCAAGUGAUUGCAUAAUAUUUCUGUACAAGAGAAGCAAAACUGAAAAUUAAGUAAAAAGAAGUCAACGAAUAGGUAGCUAUUGCGUUUCGAGUAGAUUUUUUUUAUUUAAACUUCUACUUACAAUGUCAGGCAAACAAACAUUGUUGAAAAAUGCUAAAGCAGUUUCCUCCGCUACUGCCUGAUGGAUUGUCAAGUGUUUUUACAUCAGUUUUUUUUUUGAAAAAUGUUCCAAACAAACAAACAAUUUCUCUUUUGAGUUUCUGCUCAACGAAUGCAAAGAAAACUGCUUUUGCGUCUUCCAGCAAUGGUCGUUUUUCUAAGAUUGUAACUUGCCUCUUAACUCCGGCUUUAACCUGGUUGUAAUCGUUCACCGGGGUGGGAAUUAAUGGUAAUUACAUUUUAUUUGGUUUGAAAUGUUUUUCCAAAACGCCGUAAAAGCAAGUGAGAGUUUCGCUUUAUUUACUUAUUCUUUUAUUAAUUAUCAAGUGGUUCCCACGUGUAUCACUCAACUCCAAAUCCAAAUGCUAUUUUAAUAGAAUCAACUUAUACAAAGGUUAUAUGCACAUAGUUAAAUAAGCGUCAAUAGUAAAAUGAUUCUAUCGCAAUUAUCCACUGCCCGUAUAGAAUCGGAUUACAAAACGAAAAUAAGCGACAGUUUUGUUGCUUCAGAGAGAAUCCCCAACAGCAGCGUGCUAACCCGUGAUGCUUAGACAGGUCAUCGAGAGAAAUUCACUUUCUCACUGGUGUCUAUUCUAUGUUAUAUGAACCAUGACGGUGUUUUGUUGCUGAGAUGAUAUCCGUCUCUCUUUGAUGGCACUGAUUGAAUUGUGUGAAGAGUUGAUAGAGAGCAUUCUUUGAUACGAUAAAAGCCAUCCUUGGCCAUCAUGCCGUUUAUAAUUUUCCCGCCGAACUGAGAUUUCCACUUUCACUUCCGGAAGCAGCGAAGAAAGCUCUGUGCAAAAUGAUUUGAAGUUGCAAGCAUAGAUUGUUGUUGUUUUUUCCGAGUGGCAAGCGUCCGUUUUUGGGAUUGUUGCUCCUUAUUGAUUUAUUUUCAAUCAUAUGUAUACCAAAAAAUAAUAAAAACACUCAUACGCACUCGGAAAAAAUCGGUUUCGUGUAACCAAAACCCUUGAAUGACUUGAAAAAGCCUUUAUGCUUUGCUUAUAUGCACAUUGUAUGAUGAAUAUUUUCUAUUGAUACCUAAAAAUGCCUGGAAAGUAUUUGAAUCCUCAAUAAGCGGGCCUAUUACAAUGAUCCUUUCCAGACAUGGGAUAUCUGUUUAAAGUUUGAAUUAAAACAUGUUUAAAUAAAACUAAACAGAGCGAUUUUAGCCUAUUCCAAAAACCGGAAAUUUUUAUCUCAAAAAACCGGAAAUUGAAAUCGGCAAUUCACGCCACCCUGUUAAAGUCAGUCAGCAGAUCUCACUCUAACUAAUGGUUUUCGUACACGAGCUGAGAUGAUUACUGGAGCUGUUACGCUAUACGGUGCUCAGGUUACGCGACAUCGUCAGAAUGUCCAACCGAAUCAGCUUGAAUGUUUACCGUUCAAGCACGGUACCGUACAACACUACUUUAAUUAUUAUUGUUAUUAUUAUGAUUAUGAAAAUUACAUUAGUUCAAAUGAAAACAAUAAUUGAUAAUUUUAAUUUACUGGAAAAUUUGAGAGACAUAAUGCGUUCGAUGCACACGCAAUUCACCGACAUUAGAAAAUAUUAGACAAUUAGUUUAGUGCCAUCUGUCAUAGAAUAAAUUUCAGUUAACAUUUCUACCUGUUUGGCAUCACUGCGCUGCACUUACUCAUACUGUUAUGUACGGCCGUCGCAAACGCAGUGGACGUUUUUGGGUAGACCAACCGUACAUACGUACUGACCAAGCCCGCGGGCAUACCGUUUCGCUAGUUCUCGAAUCCACAUUUCACCGUACGUAGUCGCGGUCGUCGUCGUCGUCGUAGUCGUCGCGGUCACUUUCUUAGUCGUUGAUGGUCGCUAACAAGUGUGUAUGACCAGCACAACCCGUCGCCGCACUACGGGUGGAAAAGGCUGGAUUUGCCCGGGUGCCCGCGGCACAUCACCCUUUCUCCGACGAGGAGUGCGCUCUCGCCAGCAGAGCACACGUCAUCCGCAGUCGGCUGCACUGGCUGUGGUGUGUGCAAUCGAACGAGGAGGUUCUCUCCUUUCCUUCGGUGCGGUGGAAAACUCACGGCACGUUUUUUUUAUCUCGCUAUGUCGUCGGUGUGAAAAUUGGAAAGUUUUCUUUUCGGUCGACUGGUUUUCGCGUUCUCUUCCCUCUCGGUCAGCUAACGGUGCAAAUGACCAUGGUUGGGUGUUUUCAUUUAUCCCGCAAAUUAUAGCUGGAAGCAGUUGCAAAAUUUCGGUAGGAUUAAGGAGCACGGUCUAUUAGAAUCAAAUGAAAUAUGAGAACGCAAUUUGUUAACACUGAGAAAAACUCCCCGGUUUUUAGGGGCGGCAGAGUCGGUAUUGAAAUCGUGUACUGCUUUCGUUGUGUCUGAG